GCCGCCGUCGCCGGAAUCCGGAUUUCAACCAAAAUUUCCAGAUUUUCUCCUCUUCCUUCCCUCUUUCCAUUUCUCCAACCAAAAUCAUGAAAUUUAGCCAUUUAAUCCCCCAAAAACCCUAGAACCCGAAGCUAAAAUUGGGGCUUUUGUGAUUUCUUCUUUCCAAGCUCAAAUCAAGGCUAUGGGUUUGGCAAGGAUUUUUGGUGAAGAAGGCCAAGGAGAAGGUAUAUGACGUGAUUUUUGAAGAAGAAAGGGAAACACGAUCGUUAAGGAAGUUUAAGCGGGAAGUAUCAGAGUGUGGAAUACGCCGGCAUAUUCCAGGUUACAACUAGGUCAUUCUGGACGAUUUGGAUUAGAGGUGGGUCGUUGGCCGAGUCCGUGUGUUGCUGUUCCUGUUG
rnacentral:lncRNA from 1 species